GGGUUGUUAGCUCAGUUGGUAGAGCAGUUGACUUUUAAUCAAUUGGUCGAAGGUUCAAAUCCUUCACAACCCA
rfam:Agarivorans albus MKT 106 DNA, contig: contig00025.